rnacentral:rRNA from 1 species
GGUGAACGCUGGCGGUAGGCCUAACACAUGCAAGUCGAACGGCAGCACAGUAAGAGCUUGCUCUUACGGGUGGCGAGUGGCGGACGGGUGAGGAAUACAUCGGAAUCUACUUUUUCGUGGGGGAUAACGUAGGGAAACUUACGCUAAUACCGCAUAUGACCUACGGGUGAAAGCAGGGGAUCUUCGGACCUUGCGCGAUUGAUUGAGCCGAUGUCGGAUUAGCUAGUUGGCGGGGUAAAGGCCCACCAAGGCGACGAUCCGUAGCUGGUCUGAGAGGAUGAUCAGCCACACUGGAACUGAGACACGGUCCAGACUCCUACGGGAGGCAGCAGUGGGGAAUAUUGGACAAUGGGCGCAAGCCUGAUCCAGCCAUGCCGCGUGGGUGAAGAAGGCCUUCGGGUUGUAAAGCCCUGUUGUUGGGAAAGAAAAGCAGCAGGUUAAUACCCGGCUGUUCUGACGGUACCCAAAGAAUAAGCACCGGCUAACUUCGUG